ensembl:snoRNA
UGUAUAAUGAUGAAACCCAUGCGUGUCAGCUGACUCUGUACACCGCUGCUGUGUUGUUGCUCUGGUUGGCGUUUUGCUGGCCUGAGUCCUCGGCACAGCAGGGUUCCAGAGACAUGAUCAUACAUCACUUCUGAAUACA